GCCUGUCAAAAUUUUUUGCAUAUUCUGAGAGGUAUCUUCGUAUUUCAACAAGCAGCUGUCUUGAAAUAUUUAUAGCUGCCUGUGUGGGGCAGGGAAAGGAACGAUCCUAGUUUUCCUCCUUCAUAGAAGGAGGAUAUGAAAGAAAGAGGAAUUGUGCUGCAGCCUACUUUAGGGAUCCUGCAUUAGCAGGGUUGUUGGACUAGAUGGUCCAGAGGUCCUUUCCAAGCCCUGUGAUUCUGUGGUUAUCUUUAAUUUGAGGACAAGAAGCCAGAAUUCCUCUGUCAACGAACAAUGCAAAGAGCCUUCUGCUUUGCUGAAGGAAAGACAGCAAGAAUGAUCCCCACCUCAGAACAUCGCAAACACAGCAGCUGUGGCUCAUUCUGGUCCAGAGCAAAAAGCAAACCCUUAGCACCCUGGCAGUUCAAGGUGCCUCUUUCACCUCCCGGAUAGAUGCCCUAAUCACAGCCUACCUCAAUUAUCAUGGAGUCGUUCCAGUCUCUCUAUAAGCAAUUUCAUUUUCAUCAGGACAAUGACAUGAACCACAAGCUGCCACCAAAAGUAACUUUCCUAGCCACAGUACCCCCAAGUUAUAUUUUAUUCAGAAUGCAGAAUUGUUUAUAGAAAUUUAAACAGCUCCAAUAAAAAUGACUGCAAGAACAAGACUGACUCUGUAGCCUCUAGACAGCAGAUUAGAGCCUUUCUACAUAAAAGUGCCAAGUUACUAACUGCUUGGCAAGUGAUCUUUCUCCCAAAUAGACAUUCAAAUUUGAAUAGCAGCUAAAGGCCUUCAUUAUCAAAAUCAGCAUUUUCUUACAAAGUUCUUUUUGUUGGGACGAUGGCAAGAAAACAUUUACUCCUGAAACCCGUGACUAGCUGUAGAUGUCAGCUACUCUGACACAAUAUGGGGUGAGAGUUGUACAGGUUGUACAGCGCAGCCCUGGCUCUCCCAGUUUGGAUCCUGCCACCGACCCUAAGGCAGUUGACAAUAGAGAGUCUAAAGGCUAAUAGAGAAUUUAAGGGCUAAAUUUUAUGAAAGACUGAGAUCUCAAAUUCAGUAGCACCUAAGUUGGGUACUAUUAAAAUCAGUGGCGGAACUCACUCCAAUGUUCAGCAAGGCCAGAUUCUAGCAGACAUAAAACAUGCUUUUGUUGCAGUUGAAGUUUCUCAUCCUUUACCUUACACGCACACACGCUUGUAAAAUGGAAAUAUACUUAAACAAAACUUCAAAACAAUGUUGGUAUCUGAUAAAGAACAGAACACUUCAUAAUCAUUUUAAACUUCUAUGCUGUUUUGAUGUUUGACUGCUACUGUGAGACAGGUUUACGAAUGGUACAUUUUUAUGUUCACAGGAGCUCAAUUGAACUAUUUAGUUCACAUUACAUUGAUUGCAGCUGAAUAGAGGACUUUUGAAGUAUCACUUUACAUCCGUUUGAUAUUUUAAAAAACAAAACUCCUAUGUGCGUUACCUUUGUAGUACAGACUUUCAAAUUAUUUCCUGAGAAUAAUUAAAGUAAGUUAAAUUAUUUAUAACAUUUAGAAGCAAGCAAGUUCUGUUAUGUCUUUUAGAUAAGUUCCUAAAGGAACUGUUUGUUCUCUGAACCUGGCCUUCACGCUCCUUGCUCUUAUGGAGUGUUUCCAUCACAUAUUACUAGCGAGUAAAAAUACCAUUUCAUUAGUAGUUUUGUUUGAUGUCCCUAAUUUCUUAUGUACUUUCCUGCUAAGGAGAGAAGUUCAUAUGUUGCACCAAAAGGUACACAAACAUUUCUGAAAACAGGCACCAGUUCCUUAACUGUAUAAAUCUAUGCUGGGUGCAGGAAUCUGUGCUGAUCUACAACAGUUAGAACAAGAUGAGGAUAUAGCUCAGUGCUGUCAAAAACGUGACCCUUUGCUAUCAAAGCAAACAAAACUCUUUGGUCUAUGAGAGUUACCUUACCACACUGAGCACCUACCAAAUUCAUCAGGCAGUAGAGAGCAAACAGAAUGCAAGGCAGUCAUGCUAUUCAUGACAGGGAAUGAAACCCUGAAGGGUGCUAUUUUUUGUGUCUGCUUAGGUGUCUCUGUGGUCUGGUGCAAGAUAGAUGUUCUGGGUUCUGUGUUUCACUGCCCACAUGACAUUACCAUCCCUCCUGCGCGGUCUCUCACUGCUGCAGUACUGCGACCUCAGGUGGGAAAUGUGAGUUGGGAUGGUGCUGAAACUACUGCUUUAUUCCCAGAUACAAAUCCUGCUAUACAGAUGAAAGCAUUACAUGUAUGACAUACCUACAUACGCACACAAAAAAUCUUGCAUAUGCAUACAUAUUCACAUAAACUUCUGUAAAUGUAUGGAUAUUUUUUAUAUAUUAAAAAUUCUCCAUAUAUAUGCAGGGCUUGUACAUAUACAAUAAAGGCCCUGCUUUCAGUUUUAGAAUGGUUUCUUCCAAGCUGUUAGCACAGAAAUCAUACAGAAAUUCAAUUAAAUCAAGUGGGGAAAUCUUGAAGUAUGUAAGCUUUUCAUUCUUUUCCUGCCAUACCCACUGGCCACCGUAUUAGCAGAAAUCACUUCAAAGUAACAUUUUGGAUGCUCAGCUCAUGCUCCUCUGUAGCUAUUUUUAAAGGAAUCUUUAUCAGUAGUGCUUUAGUUUCUUCAUUUUUUUAAAAUAUAUUAAAAGAGAGAGAGAGAAACUGAAAUAAAUGCUAAUAGUGCUAAUAAAAGACAUGCAAAAUAUUCUAGAAUUGCUUGUUAAAAUAGUGAGCAAAGAAAAUCAAAUUCAAAGUACUUUACUGUAACAAAAUUGAAGGCUUU
ensembl:lncRNA